GAUUGGGUUUAAGCUAUGCGUUGUAAUCGGUUAUUUCCGGAGGAGACGGCUGGAGACGCAGAAAUGGGUCUGUUGUGCCUCGUUUUUCUGCUGGCUUUUCUUCGGGCCGUAAUAUCUAACGAGGACCCUUCAGACUCCUGCAAGGACUUCGGACAGGCGUUUGAACGGAUGUUCGCAGUUCCGGGGGAAUCGCCGCUAUUGGAGUGUCCGUUGCAGAUCCAGUAUCUCUUCGAUACCGCAGAAACGCCGUACAACGUCACAUGGCUGGAGGGGAGGAACGGCUCCGAGGUCACAGAGGGUCAGCCGAGCGUCGUGGUCAGAGAGCAAUCGCUGUGGUUCCCCAACAUCAGCAUGGAGCAGCAGGGAACGUACACAUGUGUGGUCCGGACUCCGAGCCGGUGCUUCAGACAGACGGCGGUGCUGGUGGUGAGCGAGAUGACGUCAGGACGCUGUGAGCGACCGCAGUGGGUAAUCCAGCAGAUCAGCGCUCGUGUGAACGACGUCCUCUCCUGCCCUCUGAGGAGAUAUCUCAAGAGCGUGGAUCAUCCCUCCAUCCAGUGGUACAAGAACUGUGAGCCUCUUCCGGAAGAUGAGAAGUUUGCUCUAAACACGGAUAAGGAUAUGCUAAACAUACGCAAAGUACAUCUGGAUGACGCUGGAUUCUACACCUGCAAAAUGACCUUUAGUUUGGAUGGAGUCGUCGGUGAAAUGGCUGAAAGCAUCGAGUGUUUAGUUCACGAUGAAUAUCUAGAGAAACCGCGAGUGAUCGAGCCGGCCGAUGAGAUCAUCAGAGUCGAGAGCGGACUGGGAGAUUUCACUGAGAUGUAAUGGGAAGAAUGGAAAGGUGAGUCUUGAAGGUAGCAGAUUUUUCCAGGAACGUUUGAGGAAACGAGAAACAAGCGGUUCAGAUGAGGCCGACUGGACCAUUGAGACGCUGUUCUUGAAGAAUGACUUUCCAAAGCCCCGGAUCUGCUCAGGAGCGGCUGAUGGGAAUUUGGGAGACACAAUGAACAGGCGGAUUGGCUUCAACUCUCACCUGCGUAAAUGAGCUCAGGGUCCAGCUGCUGCGAAGAUGUGUAAGCCGUGUGAGAAAACUGCAGACAGCUUUUUACAGAAGAAGAGUCAGUUUUUCCCCUCAAUGUUAACGGCUUCAGACUGUUCAUGAGCAGCUGAAAGAUUCUCCCAGUUGAUUCGAGUUUAAUCUGAGACCAAAUAUCCACGGUAGGUUCAGAUCUGGACAGACAUGAGCCUGAUGGACUCGUUCUCAAGCCACUUCUUGCUUCUGUUUCCAGUUUGAGCAAAAAUAACAUCUGAUCAUUCCUCCGUACAGAACAGCUUUUGACUUGUGGAAGCAGGUCAUUCUGUAAUAUUCUCCUGAACUCACAGUGAAGCAGUUCAACACAAUCACACUCUUGAUGCAGUUAUUAUUAUAUUUCUCAGCAGAUUUUCUGUUUCAUUGUGAUUCAUCACUCUGUGACUCUGAUGAACCUCUGAAUCAAACUACUUGUUUGAAAACAAACACUUUAUAUAAACUAUAACACAUAAACUUUCCAUCGUUUUACAUUCUUACUGACAGUGACUCUGAAUACAAGCACAAAAACAGUAAAGAAGUACAAUAUUAUUCCUUCAUUUCUCAAUUCAACCGGACUAUUGCUGUUUUCUGAUCCAGUUUUUAACUCAAGUUUUAAUCCGAUCAUAAUGCUGAGCAUGUGUGUUCAUCAAGACAAGCAGACAGUGAGACAAAGUUACUGAACGACACUAAAGUGGACAGAUGAAGGUUUUCGCCCUCUAGUGGACACAUCAAAUUUAUGUGUAGCAGAUUUUGGGGUCUAAAAACAUUUCUGUUUGGCAUUCCUGUCUUGUUUAAUGCAAAAUGAAUCAGUGUGAUGAUCUGAAUGAAAGUGAAGAUGGAUGUGAGAAUGAGUGUUUCAGCAGAACUGGAGAUGAUUCGAGAUGAUCUAAAGAGCUUCAGCAGAAGAACUGUACAGUCACAUGAUCACUGAUUUACUUACAUCUGACAAAUACAACCAAAUCUCAAAUA